rnacentral:lncRNA from 1 species
AGAUGUUUUGUAUAUUUUUAUUUUCCACAUGUGAUAUAUAAUUGCAUUUAAAAACUUUUUUACAUACAUCUAUUUAUAUGUGGUUAAAAAAAGGGAAGACUUAAAAAUUAAUGUAGUACAUUUUAUAUUUACUUUUUUAAUAUAAUUAGAAUGUAACAAAAAUAGCAUAACAAUGUCAACCCCAGUUUUGUAAACGUUACUUUAGAUACAUAUCGGAUGUUCAUUUUGACGCGUGUCGUCAUUGCAUAUAUAAAUUGUGUUUUUACUAUUAAAAAAAAAAAAAAAAAAAAAAAAAAGUAGCUGUAAAUAAAUGUAGAACAAGCUAUUUGAUGCAUCAUGUAAAACACAUUCGUAGUGGUUUUAUGUAAAACAUUAUACAUAUUAAAAAAAAUAAAAAAAUGUACAUGUAUAAUUUGAUCAAAAAUUGCAUGCACAUUGAUAAUGUAAAAAAAAAAAAAAAAAAGCAAUACUAUAAAAACGCAUUAGAAACCACUAAUACAAUUAAAAUAUGUUUAUUUGUAAAUGGCGUUAUUUAUGUUAUUAUUUUUAACUUUUCAUAACAAAAUAUAUUUACAUUUACAAUUAUUGUUUGUGUUAUAAUUUUAAUUUGAAAAAAUUUUAGUUUGUAACUAAAUAUAUAAAAAUAUUUGAUAGUUUUAUAUUACACAUAUUGUCAUACGGAGUAAAAUAUAUUUGUAAAGCUAUAUAUAUUUUUGUCAUUUAUCUGUACAAUUAGAAAAGCAUAAUUGAGCAGUAUGGCAGAAGGAAAUCCACAAGAAAAUAAUAAUAAUACACCAAGUUUAACUACAUUUCUUGAGUUAACUAAUGGAACGGAUGGUACUUUACAGGAUGUGGAUAGUAACCAAACGAUUAUUUCGACACAUCAUCGAAUUCGUAAAGACUUAACAGAUAAUCCGAAUGCUAUGCAACUAACUGGCUUAUUCAUCUAUAAGAUGCAAGCAUUUGUAGUGUUGCUAGCGAUUAUUGUAUUUAUUAUUUGUGUGCUUCUUAUAUUUUGCGAAAGAUGCAGAGUAAGAUUAAUAAAAAAAAUUAUGUAAUAUAUAUUUAUACAUUCUUCAUUUGUAUAUAGUUACAUAUAAGUAGUUGCAUUAUUAUAUAAUAAUGAGUUUUGCAUAUUUUUUUUUUUAUAACAGAGACAUUGUCAUAGAUUAAAACAAGGACGUAGAUCAGGAUGUGGUCGUCGUAGACGACGAUAAACUCGCUCGAUAUGGUAACACAACAAACAUAAGGAUUUAUUUAAUUAAGCAUCAUUAUGUGUGUGAAAAAGCGUAGUACGCUAAAACUUCAAAUAAUAGCACAAAUUUAAAUUCAAUUAUUUUGUGAUUUUUGAAAUUGUAAAAAUAUGCAAACAGUAAAAAUGUUUCCAUAUAUUAUUAAUUUAUAUGUUAUGUGCAUUUUUAACAUUAUUAGCAAUUGAUAUAACAAGUUUAAGAUUAACAAUAACUAAUUGAACUUGUUUUUUUAGUUUAUUUGUAACUUAUUAUAUUUUUUUUUUAUUUACCAAAAAAAAAAUAAUUCGAUAGAUUUUUACUUUAACAUGUUUUUAUUAUGCAUUCACAGUGUCAAUGCUUGCAUGUUUGUUUGACGUGGCACAAAAUGUAGCUUGUAAUUUUUGUAUUUUUACAUAUAUUAUGAAAUAAAGUAUGUUUAUAUAAAUAUUGAAUAACUUAU